GUUUUGGCUCGAGGCCGCCAUCCUCCACAAUCGUCCCCCAUCUGCAGCUUCCCGCGGUCCUCAGCCCACAAAGAGAGGCCCUGGGCCGGGAAGGCGCAGAGCCCUGUCCAGCUGGAGCGCAACGGGCAGGCGGCUUCUGCAUUGAGCCCGGCGCCCGGCACUGUCCAGCCGGGCCUUCUCCGGCUCAGCGCAGCCGGCGGUCCCCAACCACACCCGCCGGGGCUUGGCGCCGCACUCUUCCCAGAAGGUUGCGCUGGCUCGUGAGUGAUCCUGUCCUCUCCACCCGCAGGGCCGCGUUCGCACCAAAACCGUGAAGAAGGCGGCCCGGGUCAUCAUAGAAAAGUACUACACGCGCCUGGGCAACGACUUCCACACGAACAAGCGCGUGUGCGAGGAGAUCGCCAUUAUCCCCAGCAAAAAGCUCCGCAACAAGAUAGCAGGCUAUGUCACGCAUCUGAUGAAGCGGAUUCAGAGAGGCCCAGUAAGAGGUAUCUCCAUCAAGCUGCAGGAGGAGGAGAGAGAAAGGAGAGACAAUUAUGUUCCUGAGGUAAACUUUCUGGAUAUUUGGGCUUCUUGCUGAUCCUCAAAUGAUAAAGCUGUGGGUUCUUGGCUUCCAAAAGGACCUCAGCUGAAUCUGAGACCUUUUAUCCAUACAUUCCAUAACCAGCUGUGGGUGCCCAUAGGCCCCCUACCAGUUUCUUAGCCUCCAUUCUGCUCUUCUGGAACCAGUUAAGUCUAUUCCAUAUUUCAUGAGAGCCCUUA
rnacentral:sRNA from 1 species